UGAUGAAUAUGUCGUCAUCGACUCUCAUGAACCACUCGAACUGGCUGCUGUAAUGGUCGCUGAUGUACUUCAACAUCGCGAACGACUUGUUCCGAGGAGGGUAGGCGAUGUCCGAAACGUCGUCCAAAACCACGACAGGGAACCGAUUCCGACGUGGCGGUUGCCGGUGCAGGGUGCAUGGUGGAACUCUAUCCUCUGCAUCGUCGUCUCUUCCACAGGGAACUGAUUCCGACGUGGCGGUUGCCGGUGCAGGGUGCAUGGUGGAACUCUGAGGCUGCUACAAGACACUGAAACAGAGACAAAUAUUUUAUAGUUAUUGAAAAUUAUUUGUUUUAAUAAAACUUGUAGGUAAUGAAAAAAAAAAAAAAAGACUAAUAGUUAAAGAAGUGAACAAAUUUCUUGUUUUAUAGGAAUACAAAUGUACCUGGGCUUUUAACUUGCACUAUAAAAGAAACCAAAAUUUA